rnacentral:rRNA from 1 species
UGUAGUCAUAUGCUUGUCUCAAAGAUUAAGCCAUGCAUGUCUAAGUAUAAGCAAUUAUACAGCGAAACUGCGAAUGGCUCAUUAAAUCAGUUAUCGUUUAUUUGAUAGUACCUUACUACAUGGAUAACCGUGGUAAUUCUAGAGCUAAUACAUGCUGAAAAUCCCAACUUCGGAAGGGAUGUAUUUAUUAGAUUAAAAACCAAUGCCCUUCGGGGCUCCUUGGUGAUUCAUAAUAACUUCUCGAAUCGCACGGCCUUGCGCCGGCGAUGGUUCAUUCAAAUUUCUGCCCUAUCAACUUUCGACGGCUGGGUCUUGGCCAGCCAUGGUGACAACGGGUAACGGAGGGUUAGGGCUCGACCCCGGAGAAGGAGCCUGAGAAACGGCUACUACAUCCAAGGAAGGCAGCAGGCGCGCAAAUUACCCAAUCCCGACUCGGGGAGGUAGUGACAAUAAAUACUGAUACAGGGCUCUUUUGGGUCUUGUAAUUGGAAUGAGUACAAUUUAAAUCCCUUAACGAGGAACAAUUGGAGGGCAAGUCUGGUAAUCG